ensembl:lncRNA
CCCGGGGGAGCCUGACCCUCAGCGCCUCGCCGCCCAGCCACCCAGAGAUGCUGGAGCUGCCGCGGGUGCUCACAGGAGACGAAGGGGAGUUCACCUGCCGAGCUCAGCACGCCCUCGGCUCCCAGCACGUCUCCCUGAGGCUCUCGCUGCAGAGGCAGUCAGCGCGCCCGGCAGAGGCGGUCCUGGUAGCCAUCUGGGAAGCGGCUGUCAAGACCCUGCUCCUCCUCCUCUGUCUCCUGGGCCUCCUAGUGAGGUGCUGCACAAGGACUUCAGCCAGGCCAGCAGGGGGCGUGUCAGAGGCAAAGGAAACCCCCCCUUUAACCCCUCAGCACAGCUCAUCUUGAAGCCCAUCUCCUCCCGGUCCUGACCCUGGUCCUUCCAGCAGCCUCAUCUCUUCCCUGAGUCGCUGAACCCAUGCAUCUCCUGCUUCCUCUCGCUGGGAAGCAUGGCCCUCGGGUCAGAGGACUCACCAGAGACGGUUCCGUCCACUGCCUGCACAGUCAGAGCAGCUCUGUUUCCUCCCCACCCAGGGGAUGGAGUGGCCCACACCACAGGCUGGAUUGGAAGUCCUGGCGGGCUCUGCCCUGCUGACUCUCCACCCAGAGUUUCUGUCUGGGAUGAUGAAAGCAUUCUGGAAAUGGACAGUGGUGAUGGUUUCACUAACAUGGUGAUGUACUUAACUGCCACUCAGGUGUAACACGUGGUUAUUUAGUUGCUGAGUCAUGUCCAUUUUCUUCAAGGCCAUGGAUUGUAGCCCGCCAGGCUCCUCAGCCCAUGGGUUUUCCCCAGGCAAGAAUGCUGCAGUGGGUUGCCAUGUCCUUCUCCAGGGGAUCGUCCCCACCCAGAAACUGAACCUGAGUUUCCUGCUUGGCAGGCAGAUUCUUUACCAUUGAGCUACCUGGGAAGCCCUAAAGUGUACUGUAUACAAUGUUAAAAAUGAUUUUUAUUUUAUGAGUAUUUUACUGAAAUAAAGCAAAAGGAAUGAGGAACACUUCCGUCUUCAUGGUGCUGUCAUUAUGUGGACAAGAAGUUUUUAAAAUAUAUUAUGAAUAAAAUUAGAGCGCAUCAGCUAAUCACACAUGUUUGGAGGAAAAUCACACAAGGAAAGGUGCAGGAUCUGAAUGGCUGUUUAGCUCAGAAUUAGCCAGAGAGGAUCCAGGGCAGCAAAAAAGAGAAGUGACAAGACUGGUGGGUACUCCAGGCAGAAGGUGAUGCUGCGAUGGACCAAGGAGGUCGUGUAGACAGGGAGGGUAUAUUUGGAUCUGUUGUGAAAGUCAAGCUAAUUUCUUUUUUAUUUUACCAUGCUUAUUUAUUUAUUUGCCCAGCCAGAUCUUAGUUGCAGCAUGUGGGAUCUUCAGUGACAGCAUGUGACUCUUAGUUACAGCCUGUGGGAUCUAGUUCCCUGACUGGGGUAUUGAGCCAGGCCUCCUGCCUAGGGAGCAGGGAGUCUUAGCCACUGGACCACCAGGGAAGUACCUGAAAUUUUUUAGUGGAGGUAAAUAUUUUAGUGGUGGUAAGUGAGGGAAAAAGAGGAGUGAAGAUGAUGUUGAAAUGUUUCUCCUGAACAACUGGGCAGGUGGAAUUGUGUUAUGUGGAGGGAUUCAGGGGCUUCCCUGGUAGCUCAGUUGGUAAAAAAUCCACCUGCAAUGCAGAAGACCCUGGCUCGAUUCCUGGGUCGGGAAGAUCCGCUGGAGAAGGGAUAGGCUACCCAUUCCAGUAUUCUUGGACUUCCUUUGUGGCUCAGCUGGUAAAGAAUCUGCCUGCAAUGCGGGAGACCUGGGUUCGAUCCCUGGGUUGGGAAGAUCCCCUGGAGAAGGGGAAGGCUACCCACUCCAGUAUUCUGGCCUGGAGAAUUCCAUGGACUGUAUAAGACUUCAGAGAGUAGGGAUUCGAAAUGCAAUGUUUUUUUUCUGAGAAGCCCCUUGAUAUGCACCUGUGAUGCCAGGGAGUGAGCUGGACAGGAAUGUCUGGAGAUCAGGAGAGGGCUCCAAGACAGAGACCUUCAAAUGUAUAGUUAAGAUAAGAUGAUCACAGAUGAGAUAAAAGGAAAAGGGGGUGUGGGUUGGUGGAAUGAUAAGGGAACAGUACUCCUCAAAAAUUAAAAAUGGAAUGAACAUCUGAUUCAUUAAUUUUACUUCUGAUAUCCAUCAAAGAGAACUGGGAUCAGGGGCUCUCAGAGACAUUUGCACAUAGGUCUCAGAGAUACUGCCAUGUUCACAAUAGCCAAGUGAUGUAAGUGACCCAAGUGCCCAUCAACAGUUGAACAGACAGACAAAAUCAUGGAAUGUUACUCAGCCUGAAAAGCGAAGGAAUUUCUGAUACAUGCUAGCACACGGAUGAACUAAGGAAAUUAUGUAAGUUGGAUAACCAUAUAUGAUUCCGCUUACACGAGGUACCUAAUGUAGUCAAAUUCCUAGAGAUAGAAAAUAAAACUGUGGUCACCAGGAGAUGUGAGGAAAAAGGAAUCUGGAUUUGGUAUUUAGAGUUUCGACGUUUUCAUCUUCAAAACAGUUAUCUUUCUUUAUCACUGGAUUAAAAAAUAAAACCAUCAGUUCAAUUCAAUUGCUCAGUCAUUUGAGCUCUUUGCAAUCCCAUGGACUGCAGCACACCAGGCUUCCCUGUCCAUCAUCAAGUCCCGGAGCUUGCUCAGACUCAUGUCCAUUGAGUCGGUGAUGCCAUCCAACCACCUCAUCCUCUGUUGUCCCCUUCUCCUCCUGCCCUCAAUUUUUCCCAGCAUCAGGAUCUCUUCCUGUGAGUCAGUUCUUUGCAUCAGGUGGCCAAAGUAUUGCAGCUUCAGCUUCAGCAUCAGUCCUUCCAAUGAAUAUUCAGGACUGAUUUCCUUUACGAUUGACUGGAUUGAUCUCUUUGAAGUACAAGGGACUCUCUACACCUCAACACGUUUUCUCUAACACCACAGUUCAAAAGCAUGAAUUCUUUGGUGCUCAGAUUUCUUUAUGGUCCAACUCUCACAUCCAUACAUGACUACUGGAAAAACCAUAGCUUUGACUAGAUGGACCUUUGUCAGCAAAGUAAUGUCUCUGCUAUUUAAUAUGCUGUCUAGGUUGGCCAUAGCUUUUCUUCCAAGGGUCAAGUGUCUUUUAAUUUCAUGGCUGCAGUCACCAUCUGAAUUAAUUUUGGAGCCCAAGAAAACAAAGUCUCUCACUGUUCCCAUUGUUUCCCCAUCUAUUUGCUGAGAAGUGAUGGGACCAGAUGCCAUGAUCUCAGUUUUUUGAAUGUUGAGUUUUAAGUCAGCUUUUUCACUCUCCUCUUUCACUUUCAUCAACAAUCUCUUUAGUUCCUCUUCGAUUUCUGCCAUAAAGGUAGUGUCAUCUGCAUAUUUGAGGUUAUUGAUAUUUUUCCCAGCAAUCUUGAUUCCAGCUCGUGCUUCAUCCAGCCUGGCAUUUCGUUUGAAUGAUGUACUCUGCAUAGAAGGUAAAUAAGCAGGGUGACAAUAUACAGCCUUGAUGUACUCCUUUCCCAAUUCGGAACCAGUCCCUUUUUCCAUUUCAGGUCCUAACUGUUGCUUGUUGACCUACAUACAGAUUUCUCAGAAGGCAGGUACUCAUUAAAAAAAAAAAAACUUCCCAAAAUGCUGCUGGGACACACAGCAAUAUCACCUGUGACACGUCUCAGAGCAGUGCUGUGUGUCGGGGGAGAAAGUGAGGGCCCGGGUAGGGGGCAUCUCUCCGGCCAGGACCAGGUGAGUCGUAUCCCUUCUGGUCUCCAGGUCACCAUCCAGAGACGCUCACUGCUGGGGAUGCGUGAAUGGGUGGCUGGCUGCUGCCUUCACUCCACCCAGGAGCCCCUUCUUGUCUUCUGCUCCAGACACUCCCACAGACCGUAAAGAGCCCUGCAUCUCACAGGAAUGACCACCCAAGGGUCUCCGUGAGGCUGUGACUCUCCAGGUCAAGAGUGGAGUUGAGCAGCGCCCUGGUGUAGACAGCCGAGCUCAGAUGGGAGAACCUUAGAAGGCCGCCUGAGUCCCAGCCCUCCGUGCCCUCACAGGUCUGAGCUCUGGU